rnacentral:rRNA from 1 species
AUUGAACGCUGGCGGCAGGCCUAACCCAUGCAAGUCGAACGAGUGGCGGACGGGUGAGUGAUGUCUGGGAAACUGCCCGAUGGAGUGGGAUAACUACUGGAAAAGGUAGCUAAUACCGCCUACCAUCUGAUGUGCCCAGAUGGGAUUAGCUCGUAGGUGGGGUAACGGCUCACCUAGGAGACGAUCCCUAGCUGGUCUGAGAGGAUGACCAGACCCACUGUAACUGAGACACGGUCCAGACUCCUACGGGAGGCAGCAGUGGGGAAUAGUGCACAAUGGGCGAAAGCCUGAUGCAGCCAUGCCGCGUGUAUGAAGAAGGCCUUCGGGUUGUAAAGUACUUUCAGCGAGGAGGCGUUACUCGCAGAAGAAGCACCGGCUAACUCCGUGCCAGCAGCCGCGGUAAUUC